CUUAACCCACUGCACCACAGUGGGAACUCCAGUGCUACUUAUUGCUUCACCCAAGACGGACCCUCCUCUUUUCCUGCCGCGACGCCAUUGAUUUUGGAACGGGAGGGACAGAACUUUAUCCAACGAAUAUUCACUAAGCAUCUGCGACGCGGGAGGCCCCGGAUGAGGGACCAGAGGCCACCAGAUUCGGUCCCUGCUUUCAAGUCCUGGCCAGUCUGGAAGGGGAGAGGAGCAACACCCAGAGAGUUGGAGUGCAGGGCAGGCGGGCUUGGCGGAGACGCCGAGGAGCAGGUGACCUUUGUCCUGGGCUUCGAAGAGAGACGAGUUUCUCGAUAGGGGACAUGGUACAUAAAAUACAAAAAUAGAACAUUUUAGAAAGGUU